UACGUAGGCAGCAAGCGUUUGUUCGGAAUUACUGGGCGUAAAGAGUGUGUAGGCGGUGCCUCAAGUCUGGUGUGAAAUCUCCCGGCUUAACUGGGAGGGUGCAUUAGAAACUGGAAUGCUAGAGGAUGGGAGAGGUAAGCGGAAUUCCUGGUGUAGCGGUGAAAUGCGUAGAUAUCAGGAGGAACACCUGUGGUGUAGACAGCUUACUGGACCAUUUCUGACGCUGAGACACGAAAGCGUGGGUAGCAAACAGG
rnacentral:rRNA from 1 species